rnacentral:lncRNA from 1 species
CUCACUAAAUCUAUGUAACUAAAAUUCUUCAAUGGCUAAACACCAUUCACGACACAAAAAUCCCAGAAUAUUAAAGAUGAACUAAAUUUCUCUCUCCUAUAAUUGUUUUUUUAUUCAAAUUAAUCCCAUGAUUUAUUACAAAUAAAAACCAAUAAAUGAAACAAAAUUGUUGUUAUUUAAUCAAUUGGUGGGGUCCUUCACAAUACCAAACAAAAAGUUACAACCAUUACCAGGUCACUGAUCCUAGCCGUUCAAAUAAAAAACUAUUAAAUUAAUGGCUGUGAUUUAACUUUCUCAUAGGAAGGAAUUUCCCUUUCCCAUGCUAAACUCCACCCCAAAUCUAUCAUACAUAGACUUAUUGUGGCCAACUAGAUCACCUUCAUUGUGGAAAACGAUUGCUUUUAUCAAAUUAUUAGUUUUGUUCAAUACAAAUCAACGAAGAUAUAUCAGAUAUUUGAUUCUCUUUAAGCAUUUGGUCAAAGUUUCAAUCUCUAGUCUGUAUGCUAGCAAAUGUUAACUCGUUGAAUGAAUCCUAGUUGAUUUGAUAGAUUAAUCUUCGUGGUUACGCGCGUAUAUGCCUUUUUGAUAGGAUACCUUGACUUAUUAUCAAAAUAGUCGAGUUUUAUCAACUUCAUCUUAAAAUACACCCUUUCAACAAAAAAAAAAACAUAUUUAUCAAAAGGUGAUGAUGAAAUGAAAAUAAUCAAAUUGAUCUUUAUGUAGAAGUUUUUCUUUGAGGCCUAUAAAAAAAAAAGGCUAAAAACUAUGCUCUUUAGGCAACUAUGAUCAUUUUUCAGAAUUAGUAAAUGGAAGAGGAUUCAUAUUACCCUUUCAUUUGAUGGAUGUGCAGAGUAGGGUUUGAAAUGUUGGUGUUUUGAAUCUAUACGAUAAAUUUUCCUCUGUGUGUUUUUUUU